rnacentral:rRNA from 1 species
GGACCCGCACAAGUAGUGGAGCAUGUGGUUUAAUUCGAAGAUACGCGCAGAACCUUACCAACACUUGACAUGUUCGUCGCGACUCUGAGAGAUCAGAGUUUUCGGUUCGGCCGGACGAAACACAGGUGCUGCAUGGCUGUCGUCAGCUCGUGUCGUGAGAUGUUCGGUUAAGUCCGGCAACGAGCGCAACCCACAUCCCUAGUUGCCAGCAGUUCGGCUGGGCACUCUAUGGAAACUGCCCGUGAUAAGCGGGAGGAAGGUGUGGAUGACGUCAAGUCCUCAUGGCCCUUACGGGUUGGGCUACACACGUGCUACAAUGGUAGUGACAAUGGGUUAAUCCCAAAAAGCUAUCUCAGUUCGGAUUGUCGUCUGCAACUCGACGGCAUG